AUGUUGCAGUGCCUGGAGGGGGUGAGGCACCUGGGCGGCGUGCUCCUCAAGUGCUGCGACAUCGACCUCAAGCAGCCCAAGGGCCUGGAGGAUCCCGAAGUCCUCGCCAGGGAGACCGUGUUCAGCGUCAGUGAGGUCGAAGCGCUGUACGAGCUGUUCAAGAAGAUCAGCAGUGCUGUGAUAGACGACGGGCUGAUCAACAAGGAGGAGUUUCAGUUGGCGCUUUUCAAGACCAGUAAGAAGGAGAGUUUGUUUGCUGAUCGUGUCUUUGAUUUAUUUGACACAAAACACAACGGAAUUCUAGGAUUUGAAGAAUUCGCCCGUGCGCUAUCAGUAUUUCAUCCAAGUGCCCCUCCUGAAGAGAAAAUUGACUUCUCUUUCCAGCUUUAUGAUCUGAAGCAACAAGGUUUCAUUGAAAGACAAGAGGUUAAGCAAAUGGUUGUUGCUACACUUGCUGAAUCAGGAAUGAAUCUUUCAGAUGAAGUCAUAGAGAGCAUCAUUGAUAAGACUUUCGAGGAGGCAGACACAAAACAUGAUGGGAAAAUUGACAAAGAAGAAUGGCGCAAUCUAGUUCUCAGACAUCCCUCAUUACUGAAGAACAUGACACUCCAAUAUCUCAAGGACAUCACCACCACAUUUCCAAGCUUUGUGUUCCAUUCUCAGGUCGACGAUACAUAA
rnacentral:rRNA from 1 species